CUCUUGUAUAAUCUAGAAUAAUAUAGAUCUACAACACCUAGGCCUAGACUAAAGUUAAAGACUAAAGUCUAGAUUUAUUUAACGUUUAAAAAAAAAAAUCAAUAGAUCUAAUAUAGACAGUCAUGAGAUCCACUCUAUUUUAUCUAGAUCUAGAUCUAGACCAUACAUGAGAUCAAUAAUUGUCAGUAUGAAUAUUUAAUUAUUUAUAGAAUAAUAUAGAUCUAGUCACAAUCUAGUCAAAUCUAGUCACUCUAGUCUAGAGUCUAGAUCUAUCGAUCAUCUAUGAUCUAGUCUGUCUAUAGCUAUACUUACUAUUAUACACUUUUACAGUAUAUGAGUAUACUCAUACGAGUCAUACUGGCUAUACUAUAGUAUAGACACUAUAGUUAGUAUAGUUAAUACUUUUUAAUAGUAGAUCUAUAAUCUAUCAAUUCUAUCUAAAUUAUUCUAAAUCUAGACUUCACUUUCACAUCACAUUCAGUCAUUCACACGAUUAUUGAUACAGACAGUGAAUGAAACGAAUGCAGUGGUUAUACUGAUUAUACUUAAAGUGACGAUACUACUUAUAGAUCUACCAGUUGAUAAACAUCAUCAUCAUCAUAGUUCAUAGAUAAUAAUCUACAUCUAUAAUCAUAGUGCCCUUUAUUUAGUCAAUAUAGUCAAGUCAAGGUAGUGGAACGUAAACUCGAAGGUUUAAUACAAUAUGUUAUUAACAAGUAGAACCAUGGCAACCAGUUCUGAUGAUGUACCAGAAUGGCUCAAGGAUCAUACUUAUACUAUUUCUACUCUCUGGGCAUCCAUUCAAUAUUUAAUUUAUGUUUGGAAAUGCAAGAAAAAGGCAUGCAUUCCUGAAAAGUCAAUGAUUGGUUGCACCUCUUAAAGGUAAGAUAACUUUCUGUUAUGAGAAAAGAUGAGAUUCUUGGACUCCUGCAUAGCACCACCAGAAAGGAAAAUCCCAUCAUGUUGCAAAAUAAAAGUCUUGGACCAAUUUUAAUUUAAGAUAUAUCUAUUAUACUGUAAGCUGUAUACAUAUUUAUGUAUAUCCUGUCAUUCAGCCAACAGGUUUGGAUUUAGUAUUUCUUUAAAUCUGUUUGAUAUUGUACUUGAAAACUAUUAAUCUGAGCCCCAUUAAAACAAGAGGGAGUGCAGUGGAUGAGUGGUAAGGGAAAUUUUACUUUUUUUAAAUUAAAAUAAGAAUCUAACAAAAGUAAACAUAUAAAAUAUGGUGCAUUCUCCUUAAAACUAAAAACUGGUGCAAAGGUUUAAAAUGUUGGCAAAAAAAAAAGCAACAUCAAUUAAAUAUUCUUAAUUCCCUUUGCAAAACUUACUGAGAAGAACAUGCAUGUUGUUCCCUCAUAAGUUUCUUGACAGAGGAAAUCUUGUUUAUAUUAGAUUUGAAUUAAGCAAAUUAAGAAAAAAAUUAUAAUCAUUAUUUCAAAUGGUUGUAUCUAAACCUUAUGAAUUAUUUUUCAGUUAUAAGUAUAUUGAAAUGAAUGGAUAAUCAUGAAAUUGUUAAAUAAUUGAUGCUAUCAUUCCAUUGACUAAAGAACCAUAAUUUUUUUUUUAAAUUAAUUUCAAAAUUAAUUAAUUAAUUAAUUUUCAAGCAGAGUUCACGUAGAUCUUGAGUGAAAUUUUUCUUUUUUUGACUAAUGCUUCAAUUUUAUUGUAUCAUUAGUUUUUUAUUUUUAUUACCCAGAAUAUUUUAAAAUGAGUAUACUAUUUUCAUGUAAUAAUGUAACUUGGUAUUCACACAUCGAAAUAUGCUAUAAUCUUUAGGCCAUAUAGAUUUGUAUAAAUAUAAAUUAACUUGCCUAAAUACAUUGUAAAUGUAUAUUGUUUGGAUAAGAAUAAAGUUUUUCUGUAGACAA